UAUUCAUACUGCUAGCUCUGGUUUUGGGAAUGUGUGGAUCUACUACUGCUACUCCUACUCUCAAUUGCGCUGCUUUCUUUGUGGCUGGUUGGACAAAAUGCAGUACGGCUCAGUGCCAUGACGCGGCACUCGAGGCCUAUAGAGCUUGCAAUCCAAAGGGUCUAUGGGGGCGACAAUAACGUUGAGAUUUUAGGUUAUUAUUGAAUUAGAACUGGUGGUAGUAUCAUUACAAUGCAAUUUUGACAACGAAUAAACCAUAUUGAGCGGA